GCAAAGGCAAUUGCUGGUGAAGCUGGUGUUCCAUUUUUCUCCAUCUCAGGUUCUGAGUUUGUUGAAAUGUUUGUUGGUGUUGGUGCUUCCCGAGUUCGUGAUCUUUUUAAGAAGGCCAAGGAGAAUGCACCUUGCAUUGUAUUUGUUGAUGAAAUUGACGCUGUUGGACGGCAAAGAGGAACUGGAAUUGGUGGAGGGAACGAUGAAAGGGAACAAACCCUUAAUCAGCUUUUGACAGAAAUGGAUGGUUUUGAGGGCAACACUGGUAUCAUUGUGGUUGCAGCGACUAACAGGGCAGAUAUUCUUGACUCUGCCUUACUGAGGCCUGGCCGGUUUGACAGGCAGGUGUCUGUUGAUGUCCCAGACAUUCGAGGAAGAACAGAGAUCUUAAAGGUUCAUGCUAGCAAUAAGAAGUUUGAUGGAAGUGUUUCCCUUGAUGUUGUAGCCAUGAGGACACCCGGCUUCAGUGGGGCUGAUCUCGCAAACCUCCUUAAUGAAGCAGCUAUAUUGGCUGGUCGACGUGGGAAGUCAGCAAUUUCAUCUAAAGAGAUUGAUGAUUCAAUUGAUAGAAUAGUGGCUGGAAUGGAAGGAACAGUAAUGACAGAUGGAAAGAGUAAAAGUCUGGUGGCAUAUCACGAAGUUGGGCAUGCCAUCUGUGGGUAAGUGAUAUUUUAGUCUUUUAUUGGGUUGUUCUUAUGAUGCUCAAGUAACUCAAAUUGCAGAAUAAGAAACUUAAAUGACCCAAAAUAACGUUUUGUAUUCUCCUCAAUGCAGGACAUUGACUCCAGGGCAUGAUGCUGUUCAAAAGGUGACAUUAGUCCCUCGUGGUCAGGCUCGGGGUCUUACAUGGUUUAUUCCUGCAGAUGAUCCUACCUUGAUCUCCAAGCAGCAACUGUUUGCAAGAAUUGUUGGUGGACUUGGUGGUAGAGCCGCAGAGGAAGUGAUCUUUGGCGAGCCUGAGGUGACAACAGGUGCAGCUGGUGAUUUGCAGCAGAUCACUGGUUUGGCCAAACAGGUAAUUGAACAUAUUUGUUAUCUUCUCAUAGAAAUUGAAAAUGUCAGAUGACACUACUAGUUCUAUCAUACUGAGGAACUUAAUUGGCAUUGUUGCAGAUGGUCACCACCUUCGGAAUGUCUGAUAUUGGACCAUGGUCAUUGAUGGAUGCGUCCCAGAGCGGUGACGUCAUUAUGAGAAUGAUGGCAAGGAACUCAAUGUCAGAAAAGCUUGCUGAAGACAUUGAUACAGCUAUUAAGAGAUUAUCGGAUGAAGCAUAUGAGAUUGCGUUGACCCACAUAAGAAACAACCGGGAAGCCAUUGACAAGAUCGUGGAGGUCCUUCUUGAAAAGGAAACAAUGACCGGGGAUGAAUUCCGGGCACUCCUAUCCGAAUUCGCUGAAAUCCCAGUUGAAAACCGGGUCCCUGCUGCAGUUCCGUCGCCUGUAGCUGUUUAGAUAGUGCAACUCAUACCGUCAUCGACACUUAGCUAAACAUCUAUAGUUGGUAAAGGUGUAUAAAAGCUGUAAUUUUUUGUAUUACUUGUAGCGUAACGUGAUGACCAAAUAUACAUGGGCAUGAAAUUCCUCCACUCUGCAGUCUUUUAUUGAUCUUUUUGUGUUCUACAUCGUUGGUUCCAGCUUGAUAUUUAAACUCCGGUCUUCUACAGUGGUAGAGAGGAGUGUUGUCCUUGCACCAUGAUAUGGGUUCAAACUUCAUCGACUCUCUAAUCUAACACUUAAUCUAACAAAUUUAUAUUUUGACCCAAAAAAAAAAAAGAACUCUAAUUUUGGAAUUUGUAAACUCAAUUGAAUACAAAGAGACAUGGACUGCAGGACAUUUUAUACAGAAAUUUAGAGCUUGUACAUGUACAUGUCCAUCACAGUUAGAUAUAUGCAAUACUGGUUUGAUGAUAUUGCUAUUCUACGAGUUAUAACGGUUGAGAAAAAUAAAAAGAAAUAAUAGAAACAGAAAUGGCUAUUAUGUUAAUAAAAUAGUCUCACAAACUUUUCUUUUGUGUAUAAACACCUAAUCAACUUUCUUUAAUGAUAAGGACAAGAGGCAGUGGCAGUAUUGUAAUUAAGUUGAAGUUUUGUUGCACCUUUCUUCACCUUUCUUCAUAAAUUUUCAGUUAUGAAAAAACAGUUGCCGGUACUACCAAAGUUUGACAUAAUUAUGAUACUCACCACCACGCUCAAACUACUGUCACCACUUACUCAUUAUUGUCAAUAUUAUUAAUAAAAAUUAUAUAGUGUAUUUCAUUAAAAACUUGUUGCCUUAAACCCCUUUAAUUCAAGCUACCUUUGUAUUAAACAGCUCAAACUCGUUUGGAAGUAUUUUUAAAAUGACUGAAAGCUUUCACGGAAAAUGAAGGUGGAGAUACUGUAACGCGGAGUUCUAUGAUUUCUGCAUAUGGGUUUCAUGGGCGAGGAGAGGAAGCCAUUAAGCUGCUUGAGGAGAUGGAGCAGGAAGAACUGGGGGCAAAUGAUGUUACUUUCUUGAGUUUGCUUUAUGCGUGCGGUCAUUGCGGAAAGGACUUGAGUUCUUGGAUUCUAUGGUCGAAAAGUAUGUACUGCAUCUUAAAUUAGAACACUAUACAUGUGUGGUUGACCUGCUUGGCCGGUCUGGCUGUUUGGAGGAAGCCGAGGCAAUGAUACGAUCAUUGCCUGCUAAAGCAGACGCUAUCAUAUGGAAAACUUUGUUAUCUGCACAUGUAAAACCCACAAGAACGUAGACAUGGCAAGAAGGAUUGCUGAAUAAGUUAUUAGGCAAGAUCCACAGGACUCAGCGUCCUAUGUGCUACUCUCGAACAUCCAUGCUUCAGCUCUAAGGUGGCACGAUCUUUCUGAGGUGAGAAAAGCUAUGAGAUAGAGCAAGGUAAAGAAGCCGGGUAAAAGCUGCCUGGAAAUAGAAAACCGAGUUCACUAGUUCUGCGUUGGUGAGAAAAGCAAUGGGAGAUUGAUUUGUAUCUUAAAGAGCUAACAUCAGAGUUGAAGUUGCAUGGUUACGUGCCUGAUACCGGCUCUGUUUUGCAUGAUAUGAAUAAUGAGGAGAAAGAAUAUAACUUAGGCACACCAUAGUGAGAAGUUGGCGAUUGCUUUCUCCUUAAUGAACAUUCCUGAUAAUGUACCAAGAAGGGUGAUGAAGAAUUUGCGUGUUUGCAUUGAUUGUCAUGUUGUUGUUACGUACAUAUCUCUAAUAAAAAACCGAGAGAUCAUUGUACGCGAUGCUAGUAGAUUCAUCACUUUAAAGAUGGGAUGUGUUCUUGUGGAGAUUACUGGUAACGGGAGGUUAUACGGGUAAGUGUUCUUUGUAUUAACUACAUUGCAAAGAUGAAGAAUCGGUACAGAGAAAGAGAAAGGAAACAAACAAGAUUGUAUUUAUUGAUUAGAGAAAAUGUAUACAAAUGAACUUAAUAAAAGUAAUAGCUAUACAAUCCUUUAUAUAACAAGCUAUUAUAAUAAACUCUCUCCUAAAAAUAUUAAUUUAAUAUUAUAUAAACCAUUGGUUCCCAUAUUAAUUAUUAAAUUAAUAAAAAUAAUUACUACUCUUGAUUUUAGUCAAAAAGCCGAGAAAGAUAUGCUUCAUCUCUUGUUUGGCUUCUGUUUUUAUAUGCCACCUCACUAGCGUACUUCUGCCACCAGCCAAUGUGGGAUACAAAACCUCUAUGCGGUAUGUCUUUGUUGUUAUAUUCAAAUCAAAGGGACUUGUCAGCACAAGUUUGAGACAAUUGGGAGUAUAUUUUAACCUGGAAUAUGUCACGUGUUGGUAAAAUUAGUGAUAGCUGUUAUAUUUACAAUAAUUUUGAAAAUAUAUUUUAAUUGAAAUAAAGAUUUAAAUAAAUUACAAUAGAAAAUUCGAGUAAGAGACUUCAAAGAUGACGGAGUCAAGAACUCGGUUCUUUAUCCUUAAGCAAUGUUUUAAAAAUUCUCGCCUAAUCCAUACAGCUCCCCUUAGACAUUCGUUUAAGUUGCGACUCACUUAGGUAGAAAAUAGAUAACUUUCAUUUUGCAUUUUAUUUUUUUCAAUAAAUUGUAAGAGACUUGUUGAAUACUUAAAUGAACACACAUUAUAUACUUGUUCCCCAUGUUUUCAUUGUGUUUCAAUACUUCAUAAUAUAUAUGUCAUUCUAUUUGUAGUUUAUGAUGAAAUUAUAUAUAUUUUAAGUAUAAACAGAGACUUAUUUAUAUGAAAUAUAAUGGAUUUAGUUAAAUCCGCCUAGCCGCCUAGGCGUUAGGCCACAACUCGCCACCUGACUAGCGCCUAGCGUCUUUUAAAACCUUGUCCUUAAGACAAAAUUGUAUGCUCACUGGUGCUUUAGGUACCGUUUGGUACGUGGGACGGGACGGAACGGAGUGGAACGAGGCGUUCCGUCCCACAUUUGGUGCGCCUAAAGCGGAUGGAACGCGCUGUUCCACGGGACGAAUUUUGGGUGAAUUUUCGUUCCGCCUCACCCCCUGGAACGACUAGUUCCACAUUUGUGGAACACAAAAUUAUAACCUCUCCGUCUCAUUCUUCUUCCUCCUUGUUUCCAUCCGAGAGCAUCUUUGCUCCCACUCCGUUCCGUCCCGUCCCGUCUGCAUACCAAAUUAUACCUUAAGGACUUGUAUGGCGAAUUGCCUCCUCAUGACUCCAUGGUCUCUCCGUCUCUCUCUGAUUAAACUGUGUGUGUUUAAGUACUCUUUCUAAUUUGUGUUGGUAUCUGCAUGGCUCUGGUGACAAGCUGUUCGUGUCAGGAAUUUCCGUCGGGGAUGUUUCCUGGCCGACGAGCACACAGCUCCCCUGGAGGAUGGCGCCGAUUGAGGGCUGCUGUCGGGCUUCUGCUUCGCUGUCGGGCGUUGUCGGGCAAGUCUCGUCGGGCAAGUCUCGUCGGGCAAGACUCCUCGGGCAAGACUCUUCGGGCAAGGCUGAAAGAGAAGGAUAGCGUUAACUUUGAGAGGUGCCUUUGUGGGGCCUUAGGUGUAGGCCUUGAGGCUCACAAUCAAGGUUAACAUUUAGGUGCUCAGGCGUGCCACUGCCAUCUUUAGCAUGGCAGAUGUAAAAUGGUUGUCGUGCUUUAGUUGUAUAUAUGUAUGUAUCCAAGAAACCAUGUUAGUUAUAACAGGUGCCUUUGUGGGGCCUUAGGUGUAAGCCUUGAGGCUUCCCAUAAAUAACUAAACCAGUGCUCGAACGCAUCAUAUUUGUUCUCGUGGUUGUAGGAGUUUUCUAACUAUUAUACUUCUGAUUACCCGAAUCCAAGAAGUAGAAUGAACCCAAAUAGGUGUCUUUGUGGGGCCUUAGGUGUAGGCCUUGAGGCUUCCCAUCAGAGUUCAUUCUUAUACUUAGACUCUUUAGAUCGCCGAACGGAAUGAAUCCAAAUGGAUGCCUUUGUGGGGCCUUAGGUGUAGGCCUUGAGGCUUUCCAUUAGAAUCCAUUCCAUGCUCAAGCGUUCUAUGAUAAUCAUGACAUAAUAGAAAGAAAACUAGAAGGUAGGUUGAUUACUUGCGCCCCAAGUAACUUCGGACUUCUCGUUUAUCAAGGACUGUCGUGGAUAGGUUAAGUCCACAUAAAGUUCUUUUUUAUGCCUUGAGGCCAAGGACUUUUAACUGAUCAGAUUUACAUGCCCGAGGGCUUAGGACUUGGAUCUAGUUUGAACACUGACAAUAUAUUCAAAUCGGAUUCAAGUGCUGAGAAAGCUUUUUAAUAGUCAUGUUGCUAGAAAUAACUUGCAUAUAACUGGAAGUAUACAACAUAUUGAAAAGACAAAACUAAAGCAAAGAAGGUCGGGAAAGGUUAAACCUUAUCGGGUAAGGUUGCUCGUCUUACAGGUUCCUAUCUUUGUAGUUUUGUCAAAGGUCUGAAAGCUUAGAGGGGUAGAGAGAGAGAUUACAAAAGAUGAAUCGAUACUACAGCAAGGUUUAACAAGGUAGCAUAGCUAUUACAAAGGGUUGAAGAGAGGGUUAUCCCGAGAGAGAUGAAGGCUGGUCCCGAAAGGGAUGAAGGCUGAUUACAGCUUUGUUUUGAAGGCAAAUCUGGCUUUGAGCAGAGUUUGUGCUUGCAUUUGUUUGUUUGAUUGAGUGUCUUUAAUCUUGGAUUUUCUUUCUUCUUAUAUAGACAACUCGGCUUGGCCUUUGGUAGCAGCAGCUUUGCCCGAAUGCGGUUUGAGGGUGAUGACUCAUCAGCUAUUUUACAUGUAAUGCCACCAUAAAGUGCUUUAUGGGCUGUGUAGCUGACCAGUCUACACCACUUGGCUUUUGGGUAGGUAAGCAAGUGGUUUUCAUGAGCUGCACCAAGUCAGAAAAGGCCUUUCCCUGCUUUCUGGGCUUCGACUGGGCUUCGGCUAUCUCCCUUUCGGGCCUCAUUUUGGGCCAACUCCUUUCUUGAGCCCAAAGUUUCAAGUUUUGAUCCAAACAGUGCCCCCUUCAAUCAAUGUUAAGGUUGGAAUCCCAAGCGCCAACAUUGAUUGAAUACCCGCAUGCGUGUAUCUCAAUCUUUUGGAACUUCGUGUUCCCUCGACAGGAUGAAGGCAACCCCGUGCCCCUUGAGCUUCUCACGACCUCUGAACUACCCUCUGGUUUUCUAUAAAUUCUGGCUCGGAAACUCUUCUAUCAAGCCAUCAAAUCCUCUUCAUUCUUUUCUUCCAUCUUCCUCGAGCAUUUCAGAAUUUGAGAAAUGGGUUCCUUUAGCUUUGGGUGGGGUUUCCUAAAACUUCCUUUCCGUGAGAAAAAAGGCUUUCAUCAAAGAACUGCUAUCUUCAACACCCUUGGUCGAACGCCCCGCUAUCUCCAACACCCUUGGUCAGGCGGUUUCCUAUUGACAGUUUGUCUCCCUGCUCGCUGCGGUGAUAAAUCGGGCUUGACCAUUACAUAUGUUGAUGGUCCUGUCUGAGGAUCCUCUACCAGGCCCAUGUUGGCCACACAACCCGAUCACCUGAUCGGGUCCCAUCCAUGAAGACAUCAGAAAAUCAGCUGAAGAUACCAUUGCAUCCAGGAAGAGAAUUGACUGUAAUACGUUGGCCUUGAAUCUUUUGUAAAUUUCAUCAAUUUGUCGAAAUGAAAUAUACAUUAUCUCAACAACUCUUGUCUUUCCAUCUUGAAUGUUUGAUAAAUACGUAUUGCAUAAUGAUAUCCCGAAGCUCGCUUUACUUCGCAUCUUCUUCGAUAUAACAAUCUCUGACAUCCCACAACGUAGGACAAUAUUUCUUUAAGAAUUUAACGUUAAUGGGAUGUUUAUGUUUGUUUCCUUCAAGGUCCGCCAGGUAGUAUCCCCUUCUAUCUAGGACACGACUAAUAAUGAAAGGACCUUCCCAUGUCGGGCUCCAUUUUCCAAAACCCCUGAGCUGAGCUCCUAGAGGGAGGAUUGUCUUCCAUACUAAAUCCCCUUCCUUGAAAGAUUUCAUCUUCACCUUCUUGUUGUAAGCUCGGGCAACGGCUCGUUUCCCUUCUUGAAUCUGGUUCAAAGCUUCAAUUUGGGCGGCAUCCAAGUCUUCAACUCCUUGACACAUGGCUUCGACAUACUCUUCGCUAUGCAAUCCAAAUUGAUUUUGAAUUCUUAAAGAACUCACAUUGAUUUCCACGGGGAGCACUGCAUCUUGCCCGAAAGUUAAAACAUAAGGAGUUGUGCCUGUUCCUGCUCUCUUAGAAGUUAUGUAUGCCCACAAAGUGUUCCCUAGAUUUUCAUGCCAUCUUUCUGGACUAUCAAUCACCAUUCUCUUGAUAAUGUUGACCAGGAUCUUGUUGCUGGCUUCUGCCUGGCCAUUUGAUUGCGGGUAGUAUGGACUGGACUGGAUCAUCUUUAUUUUGUACUUACUUGCAAACUCCUCAACUUCUUUUGAAAUAAAAGAUGGUCCACGAUCUGUCACAAUAGUUUCGGGCACCCCAUAUCUAUGCAGGAUCUUGGUCUCGAUAAAAUUCUUGACUGUGGCUGAAUUUAUGGAUUUCACUACUGAUACUUCCACCCACUUGGUAAAGUAAUCCGUUGCCAUAAUUAUGAAGGUAUGCCCUCUGCUAGAAGCUGGAUAGAUUUGCCCGAUGAAAUCCAUUGCCCAUCCUCUGAAGGGCCAAGGCUUGACCACUGGAUUUAAAGGUACUGAGGGCACAUGCUGGAGAGGUCCGUGCCUCUGACAUUCUUCACAUCCUCGGGCAUAAGACUUACAAUCUUUUUCCAUGUCGGGCCAGAAAUAACCAUACCUCCUAAGCAACCAUUUCAUCUUCGUUCCAGCCUGAUGUGCUCCACAAACUCCUUCAUGUACUUCGGCCAUUACCCUCAUGGAUUCUUCUUAGCCCAAGCAUUUCAACAGUAACCCAUCUGGAGUUUUCCUUAGCAAGUUCUUCGCCCAUAAAACAUACUUGGUUGCUUGCUGUCUAUCCUUCUUGCUUGUAGGCGAGGAAGGAUCCUUCAAAUGGUGAAUAAUAGGUGACCUCCAAUCUUCUAUCUCGGCCUCUAGCACCAUUAUAUCUAGACUGAAUCCCCUUUCUAAGAUGGAAGGGAGGUUUCUUCUUUGGAUCUCAACAUCUACCCCAUAUUUCCUCUCCUGUAUUGGCACUCUUGCGGCUAGUUGUGCCAUCUCGUUGGCCGCUAAAUUGGAUUCCCUGGGAACAUGAUUGACCGAUAUCUCAGAAUCCCAGAAAUUCAAUAAUUGCGUAGCUGCCAAGUAAUACCCCGCCAUGGUAAUAUGUCUGCACUUGAACUCCCCAUUUAACUGGUUUAUUACCAACUCUGAAUCUCCAAAGACCUCUACCUCCUCUGCCCCCAGAUCCAUCAAGAUUUCCAGACCAAUAAUUAAGGCCUCAUACUCUGCCCGAUUAUUAGUAUUCCCCUGGUAAUCCAAGAGAAAUGAAUAAUAAUGAUAAACUCCCUGAGGGUUUACAAUUACAAUUCCUGUUCCUGAAGCCUUCUGAGUGUGGGAUCCAUCGAAAUACAACUUCCAAUGAGUGAUCCAGAGACCAGCCACUCUUCUUAUCUCUUGCUGGACCCAGUCUUCUUUGCCCGAAAUAUCUUUUCUCGGCGGGAUCCAAAUGCUAGUAACUUCUAGGCUUCCAGGGAUAUUGAUCACCUCACUUGAAGAUUCUUAAUGCUCGGUCAGGAAGUCGGCAAUUGCUUGACCUUUGACUGCCAUUUGGGGUACGUACGGAAAACUGAAUUCCGAUAAAGCUAGAAUCCAUUUCCCAAUCCUUCCUGUGAGCAUUGGCUUUGACAACAUGUACUUUAUCACAUCUGUCUUGGCGAUGAUGUGCACGUGACAAGGUAACAUGUAAUGCCUUAAUUUACUGGCAGUGAAAUAUAAAGCCAAGCAUAAUCUCUCUACCGGGGAAUACCUUGUUUCUACCUCGGUCAGGAUUCUACUGAGGUAGUACACUGCCUGCUCCUUCCCGCCCUCAUUAUUUUGGGCUAGCAAGCUUCCGAUUGAUUUUUCAGAGGCAGAGAUAUACAGCUUCAAGGGUUUUCCCCUUUGAGGUGGCACCAACACUGGUGGAGAAGUUAAAUAGGCCUUGAUGCUGUCAAAGGCUUGUUGGUGUGGUGGUUCCCAUUCAAACUUCUCUUUAUCUUUCAACCUUAGUAAAGGAGUCAGCGGCUGGAUCUUGCCUGCUAGAUUAGCAAUGAAUCUCCUCAAAAAGUUGAUUUUGCCCAGUAACCUCUGGAGUUGCACCUUGUUGGUAGGUGAAGGUGACUCCAUUAUUGCCCGAGAUUUGUUCUUAUCCACUUCUACACCUCUUUGAUGCACCAGGAAUCCCAAGAAGUUGCCUGCUCUUACUCCAAACGCACACUUCUUUGGAUUCAUCUUCAAUUUGUGGAUCCUCAUCCUUGCUAAUGUCUGUCUGAGAUCUUCCAGAUGCUGCUCUUCUGUUUUGGACUUUACCACUAUGUCAUCAAUGUAUACCUCCAUGCUCUGGCCAAUUAGAUCAUGAAAGAUGGCAUUCAUUGCCCUCUGGUAAGUUGCACCAGCGUUCUUGAGCCCGAAUGGCAUGACCAGAUAUUCAUAUGCCCCCACAUGACCGGGACACCUAAAAGCUGUUUUAUGUAUAUCUUCUGGAGCCAUCUUUAUCUGAUUGUAACCGGCAUUCCCAUCCAUAAAAGAUAGGACUUUAUGUUUUGCCACUGCAUCUAUGGAUAAGUCGGCCAUGGGCAUGGGAUACUCAUCCUUUGGUGUAGCGCCAUUAAUGUUUCUGUAAUCCACACAACAUCGUACCUCUUUUGUUACAGCUUUUAAAACGGGUACGAUGUUGGCCAACCACUUCACAUAUUUGGCUGGUCUGAUAAAGCCAGCUUUCACUAGCCUCUCAAUCUCUUCUUUGACCUUUUCUUCUAUCUCCUUUGACAUCCUCCGUGGUGCUUGCUUGACAGGUUUAUAUCCUUCCUUGAUGGGCAUUCUAUGUUCUACCAAGGUUGGAUCUAACCCUGGUAUCUCGAUAUAAUGCCAAGCAAAGCAGUCUUUGAAUUCUUGCAGAAGACAAACAAUCCUUGCCCGAUCAUCAACCCCCAAUAAACCACUGAUCUGUAUUGGUCUCGCGUCCUCCUCUGAUCCUAAAUUAAUAACUUCCAGAGGAUCCUGGACUUCUAGUGGUGGCUUAUCCGGUUCUGUACACAAAAAUUCGACCAGCUCCGGGCUCUCGGGCAAGUCGUCUGGCCCAUCUAGAUCAUAUAUGCACUCGGCCAUUUGAAUAGCCCCAUCCAGUUCUUCACUGCAAGAUUCCUCCUUGCUUUCAUGCUGGCUAGUUGAAGUUUCCUCCUGCCAUUCACGCUCUUCUCUGUCCAAGAGCUCCCUUUCUUGUCUUCUUCCCUUCCCGUAUACCAGCAAUCUUUUAAUCAGGGAUCUAACUGCCAUUACCUGAUCUCUCUUCUUUUGUCCACUCAUUGAUGGUGUAGGGGAUUUGGGAGGAUACAAGGUCUAUCUCACUCCUCUCUAGUAAGAAGCAUUCCUUGUUCUAAAAGCUUUUGGGCCGUCACCUUGGUAGGGCGGCCGUUCUCGUCAGCUCCUGAACACUUCAAGAUUCCUACAUUGGGGUUGUAGAAACUUGCUUCUGCAACAUUGGCUGUGGGGAGAAAUGGCCGUGAUUCGGCCUCUACCAUCUCCCAAAAGCCUGGUCCUUCUACGCCCGCUUCAUGAUAGAUAGCCACUUGUUGAUGAAGAGUGGAGGGUAUAGCCAAACCUUGGUGGAUCCAAUCUCUUCCGAGUAAGGCCCCAUAAGUGGAGGUGCAGUCCACCACAAAGAAUGCCAUCAUUAUCCUUUUAGAUCCCAGAUCCACUUCUAGAGGCAAUAUUCCAUGAGUCUUAGUGAUAGCGCCUGAGAAGCUAGAGACUGUGAGGUCUGUGGGAAAAAGAUCCUCCGUACCUCUUCCCAUUUUCUUCAUCUGCUUGGCUGGUAACACAUUAACAGCUGCUCCUCCAUCAAUUAGAAUUCUUUUGAAGGGCACACCUUCUAGGUGAGCUGUAACGUAUAUGGGUUUCAGAUGAUUGGCCAACGAGCUGUUCGGGCGGCUAAACACCAUCUCGUCCGUGUAAAUCCUUAGAGGACUGCCUUUGGAUGCUUCUGCAUAUUCAGCCUUGCCCGAGCUUUCUUCUUCAACUACCUCUAUAUUGACAUGUGCCAUCAUUGGCUCAGUUGUCAAGUAAUCACCCUCCAUAGUAGCGGAUUGAUCAGGUCUGGCAACAAACGUGGCGGACAACACGUAUGUCAUGUUGAUAUGGAAAUUAUUAGGCUCGGGCGGACCUUCUUUAUUAUCCCCAAUCUGGUCCAUAAAUUCAUCCAACCAGGCCAUCGCAUCAGCUGGAAGUAAUGGUUAUGGUGCCCCCUCCUGUUGCUGUUGAAUCAUGCCCGCAUACAGUGUUUGUUUUGGAACUUCACCAAAAGGAUCCACCAAUGACAGAGAAGGUGGUCUCCUUUCAGAUGAAAUAGUUUCAGCAUGGUUAGGACCUGGCUUCCACCCAGGAGUUGGCAUCAUCAUUAGAUCUUCUUGAGCUCUCCUCAAGAUCAUGUACUUCCCGGGGUGUUGGCUCUGUGGUACGUGAUUUCCCUCACCUUCCGUCUUGCUGUCGGCUUUUUCCACCUCUUUCUUACUUCUCCAACGGAGCUGACUACUUCCUCCAGAUGCUGUUUUCUCCAGCUUUUGAUUUUUGGAGGCUUCAGAUGUUGUGGGGGUCUUUAAGGAAUUCAUGUAGGCUUUAUGCUGCCUUUGAACCCUCCUGACCAUAGAGGCUCCUAUUGGUUUAGCAGGCUGUCCGUUCUUCCCGACUACAUACCAUUUUCGCCCGAGGUGGGCAGGAUUUCCCUUUCUACCAGGAUUGGUCACGCUAUCAAUCUUCUUGAUUUCCUUCCCCAUCUGGCCACAUUGAGGAUGAUCUGCACCCCUUCGUAUUUUGGCUUCCAUGUCUUCCGCUUCAUCAGAAACUUCAUGGUUUCGAAAUACCUCUGACAAAGCUUUGGGUUGGGAAUCACCUCCUAGUCGUUGAAAGACGCUUCGGGAAGUGUCUUUUUUCGUUGCCUGCUUAAUCUUUUCGCGGGCUUCUCGUCUUCUUCUUUUCUCCUGAUUAGUUCACGGUCAAUGAGUACUCCAGCCGGGGGAAUUUCAAGCUCACACUCGCACUGGCACUUACUGCACAUGACCAUCCCCUUGAUUAUGGCUGCUUUUGGAUAUUCGGGUGUUUUAAUCACCCCUCAUGUAGGUUUUUCAGCCAAUCUCUUCUCUUCUGGUUCCUUUGUAAUUCUUUCUUUUCCUUUCUCAGCCCAUGUCAUAUUGAUCAUAUUUACAGGGACUUCUGAAAAGGGAACUGCAGGUUUGUCUACCACCAACUCUUCAGGCGGGCUGGUUUUAAGUCUCUUUCCCUCGGGAGGAACCAGGUCUGUUUCUUCUCUGAAGCCUGUGGAAGCUUUCUCCAACCUUUGCAACAUUUGUAGUAACGUAGUUUGUAAACCUUCUGGCAUCUUGACAUAUAUCUUCUGAUCAAGGGGUUCCACUAGGCGUGCCAAAACUAUGUUCGUGUUAGGAAUUUCCGUCGGGGAUGUUUCCUGGCCGAUGAGCACACAGCUCCCCAGGAGGAUGUCGCCGGUUGAGGGCUGCUGUCAGGCUUCUGCUUCGUUGUCGGGCAUUGUCAGGCAAGUCUCGUCGGGCAAGUCUCGUCGGGCAAGACUCUUCGGGCAAGACUCUUCAGGCAAGGCUGAAAGAGAAGGAUAGCGUUAACUUUGAGAGGUGCCUUUGUGGGGCCUAAGGUGUAGGCCUUAAGGCACACAAUCAAGGUUAACAUCUAGGAGCUCAGGCGUGCCACUGCCAUCUUUAGCAUGGCAGAUGUAAAAUGGUUGUCGUGCUUUAGUUGUAUAUAUAUAUGUAUCCAAGAAACCGUGUUAGUUAUAACAGGUGCCUUUAUGGGGCCUUAGGUGUAGGCCUUGAGGCUUCCCAUAAAUAACUAAACCAGUGCUCGAACGCAUCAUAUUUGUUCUCGUGGUUGUAGGAGUUUUCUAACUAUUAUACUUCUGAUUACCCGAAUCCAAGAAGUAGAAUGAACCCAAAUAGGUGCCUUUGUGGGGCCUUAGGUGUAGGCCUUGAGGCUUCCCAUCAGAGUUCAUUCUUAUACUUAGACUCUUUAGAUCGCCGAACGGAAUGAAUCCAAAUGGAUGCUUUUGUGGGGCCUUAGGUGUAGGCCUUGAGGCUUUCCAUUAGAAUCCAUUCCAUGCUCAAGCGUUCUAUGAUAAUCAUGACAUAAUAGAAAGAAAACUAGAAGGUAGGUUGAUUACUUGCGCCCCAAGUAACUUCGGACUUCUCGUUUAUCAAUGACUGUCGUGGAUAGGUUAAGUCCACAUAAAGUUCUUUUUUAUGCCUUGAGGCCAAGGACUUUUAACUGAUCAGAUUUACAUGCCCGAGGGCUUAGGACUUGGAUCUGGUUUGAACACUGACAAUAUAUUCAAAUCGGAUUCAAGUGCUGAGAAAGCUUUUUAAUAGUCAUGUUGCUAGAAAUAACUUGCAUAUAACUGGAAGUAUACAACAUAUUGAAAAGACAAAACUAAAGCAAAGAAGGUCGGGCAAGGUUAAACCUUAUCGGGUAAGGUUGCUCGUCUUGCAGGUUCCUAUCUUUGUAGUUUUGUCAAAGGUUUGAAAGCUUAGAGGGGUAGAGAGAGAGAGAUUACAAAAGAUGAAUCGAUACUACAGCAAGGUUUAACAAGGUAGCAGAGCUAUUACAAAGGGUUGAAGAGAGGGUUAUCCCGAGAGGGAUGAAUGCUGGUCUCGUAAGGGAUGAAGGCUGAUUACAGCUUUGUUUUGAAGGCAAAUCUGGCUUUGAGCAGAGUUUGUGCUUGCAUUUGUUUGUUUGAUUGAGUGUCUUUAAUCUUGGAUUUUCUUUCUUCUUAUAUAAACAACUCGGCUUGGCCUUUGGUAGCAGCAGCUUUGCCCGAAUGCGGUUUGAGGGUGAUGACUCAUCAGCUAUUUUACAUGUAAUGCCACCAUAAAGUGCUUUAUGGGCUGUGUAGCUGACCAGUCUACACCACUUGGCUUUUGGGUAGGUAAGCAAGUGGUCUUCAUGAGCUGCACCAAGUCAGAAAAGGCCUUUCCCUGCUUUCUGGGCUUCGACUGGGCUUCGGUUAUCUCCCUUUCGGGCCUCCUUUUGGGCCAACUCCUUUCUUGAGCCCAAAGUUUCAAGUUUUGAUCCAAACACAAGCAGUUGAUUUCUCCCACGUCGUACAAUACGAGUAUUGCAUGCUAGUUUAUAAAUAUGACUUCUCUAGUGAUGUAUAACUCGUAUAGUUUGCUCUAAUUUUGUUGUGGUAUUAGAGUCAUGUAAUUGGCAUGUUGUUACACAGUAUCCAUUGCCCAUGUAAAUAACCUGGCUCCUAAUACCAUGACAAAAUCAGAGGCGGUAUAAUCAACACUAACUUUUUUGGUUUAUUUAUUUUCAAUGAGCUAGGGAUAAUUACCUUACUAUGAUAGGUUUUGUAAUUUGUGAAAUUCACAAGGAAUCUCCUUCAUUUCAUGUUGGUAGUAAAGGUAUGAAUUGGAGUAUCUUCAAGUUUCAUCUACAUAUUAUUGAUAUCAACAAUUUAACAUUGAAAGAACACUAAAAUUCAGAUUGACAGAUUCAAAUUUGGUGUCACCUCUCCCAUAUAAUUGGGGACUCAGCACAAAUAUGCCUCCCAUAUAUAUACACCGUAAUUUGUAGAUCAUAUGAUGCAGCAGUUGAUAUUUGAAUUCCUUAUUUAAAUCAUUAAAAAUAAAUCCAACCAUCAACUGUCACAUCAUUAUAUAUGUGUCCCAAGCAUUACCGUAUGAAUAUAUAGGUGAAGGAAAAAUUUGUAAAAACAAGUUCGUUUGAGCAACAUCUAUGCAUACAAUGAACAAUUAAAGGAGGAAUCAUGCUUGUGUGCACUCAAAAACAAAACUUUACCCAUGAAAUUCAAGGCUUAGUAGUUGUGGUGAACCAAGAUUCAACUCAAAUCUUAAAGAAAUGAGUUGAGAAACUUUUAUACCUUUGAAGCACCUCUUUGCAUAAGUAAAGGCUAAUCACCCAAGAGAGAGGGCCUUCAUUCCUUACUUCUUAGCUCCAUGGAUUUCUUGGAGGAGGAUGGUUGAAUGGAUUCUCCAAGUUCCCAAGAAAGGGAACCUCUAAGUUUCCACACCAAGGAGGGACUUGAAGAAGAGAUGAGUGACCUUGGAGGAUGAUUGAUACCCCUCUAAGGGGGCCGGCCUCCCAGAGAGAAAAAGAUAGCUUUUGUUCUCUCCAAUUUCCUCAAGAGAGAACCCUAAUGAAUUUUGGCUAUAAAAUCCUUUAUAUAGUCACUUCACUUAAGUGACAAAAAGAACCAAAAACUUUCAUUCAUAAUAUGGCUGGCCUUCUAAGGGCUUUGGGCUAUUUGGGCCCUUUUGAGUCUUUAUUCAUUAAGUUGUCAUACAACUUAAGUUAAUGGGUUUGACAGUUUUAAACCCAAUGGGCCUUGAGGUCCACUAAUUACUCAAAAACUAAAACGAACUUAUUCGUUUGAUUAAUUAACAUAUUAAUUAAUCCUAGCCAUAAAUAAUUAAACCAUUUAAUUACCCCUACUCAUCUCUGUUGUUUCUUCAAUCUCUACCUUACACGGUGUACGAUCCAUAAGGUUCCUUUUAGCGAGGCAGUGGUCGAUUAGAACUCUUCAAAUCGAUUGUGAAUUGAAACUUACUUUCAAUUCUCCCUUUAGUGAUUAUACACCUUUAGGGCUUCCACAAAUCAUGAGUGACACCUAGCAAUAUGUCAUGGCUACCCAAACUAAUCAGAAGAGGUGGAUAACCUAUUCAGUUUGGGAUUACAAUGCAAUACGGUCUUUCUCUAAUACAAUACUCUUGACCACAUUGUUUGGUUUGAUAGUUUAUUCAUGUCUACUAUCCAAUGUGAUUCUCUUACUUAUAUGAUUACCUUGAACGUGAUUUGGAAUGACUUCCUAAAUCUUAUUCAUACUCUGGCCAGAGAUUCUUAAUCAUAUUAUAGAGAAUUCUCCCUCAAACGGUUUGAAGGUUAGAGAUCCCUUGUUGUGCAUUCACUUGCCUCCAUGGCUAAGUGGCUUAACCCCAACUAUGUUGUGGACACCCUCUAACGGAGUGACUUUGACAUAGUCAAAGAUUAAAGACCUAACCAUAAGACAACUAUGAUGCUUCAGGUCAAAUGACUACUUUGCAUUACCCCAACCAUGGGUUCUCAUGUGACAUGAGUAUAAAAACUCCUUGUUGAUCACGUUCAGUGGACUCAUUCUCUAUUGAGCACCUACAUGCUUGUCUUGGUGUCAAUCACACCAAUGACUUGAAACUAGUCACUCUCUCUAAGAGAAGACAUAGCACGUACUGAUCUUAACGGACUGUCAAUGCCCAAUUGGCAAUCCUAUGAUCAUGAACGUUUAGGAUAUGUAUACAAAAGAGAAUGGUCUCAUGAAUCUAACUUCUUUAGGUCACAUUCUCCCAAUUACAUGUUCCUUGGACUUAUCGUUUAAACAUAUAACGUUUAUAUGAGACGGCUUUAAACAAUAAUCUUUGCCCUUUAUAUUAAACUAGAUUAGUUUAAUAUAUGAAACGUUUGUAAAGUAUCAUCAUAUGAUUGGCUUUAGGGCACAUUUCCAACAAUAGGUUUACUUGUUUCUAUUUGUGUUGGUCUAUUUAUUGCUCUGGUGAUAACUUAUUGAUUUGUCCCACAUUGUGCCAAGCAAAAUUUGGUUUGAAGAACCACCUGAUUUUUUUUAUUUGAUGUAUUGUUCAUGGAUUGUAAUCACUAGCUGGUUGGGGUUGAAGCCUUGAAGGGAGGGAGCGUUCUAUUCAGGGUUUAGUUCUUUCAAUCUCAGCUAUUUCUACCCACUUGUGGAAAGAGAGUAGAACUACAAAAGUAAUUGCAUGACCAAGCCUGAUGUGUAGUUUGUUCGGCUCGUAUAUAUCGAUCAUCUCGGUCCAGUUUGGCUCCCAGUAUGUUUAUUGUGUAUUGCUUCUGGUUGUAUUUCAUAGUUAAAUUCAUACAAGAUAGAUUCGUUUAAAAGAAAAAUUAAAGUUUUACCAAGUAUUGUCUAAUUUAUAUGAGGUUUCGUUGAUAGAUGAAAGAAUACAGAGAAUUUACCAUUCACCUUGGAAAAAUAAAUAAAAAUUUACCAUUCACCAUGGAUUUGUAUGAUUAUUAGUUUCAAAGCAAAAACUUAAAUAAUCUUAAACUAGAUCAGUGUCAUUAGCAAAUAUCAAGUUUUAAAACUAGAUUUUGGUAGGUUGCGCGCACCAUGCCCAUGCUGUAGUGCAAUGCUUGGGUGACACUCAAGAGCCCUAAUAGCAAGCUAUUGUAAUGCACUCUUCCUUAAAAUAAUUAAUUUAAUAUCAUGUAAACCAUUGAUUCACAUAUCAAAUAUUAAACUAUUAAACUGAUAAAAACAGAUACUACACUUGAUCUUAGCCAAAAGGCCGAAAAGGUAAGGUAUGCUUUUUCUUAUGUUUGGCUUCUGUUUUUAUAUGCCCCUUCAUUAAAAUACCUCUCCCAUACGGCCAAUGUGGUAUAUGAAACUUGUAUUUCUAUGACAUUUUCUUAUAUGUCAUCGUGCCCAUACAUUUGUAAUUGUAUCCUCUGUGAUACUAAGGAGUAAGGACGACCAAAUUGGAGGGAGGAGGAAAGAACAUAUACUCUGUCUACACUCAAAAGACUUUAUAGAACUACAAAGCAUUCUCUCUAAAAUGUUCGGCUUUGUUUCAACUUAUGUAGCAUGAAUGCUACAUGUAUUAAUUUAGCCGUUAGAUUUGAUUUUCACAACUAUUUAAAUAUUUUAUUUUCAAUCUCAACCAUUCAUUUCCCGUAUCACUCCAUGCUACAUACCUUUGAAUAAAAAUUGGAAAUUUUCAACGCCAAAGUAUCUCCAUAUUUUAAUUAUUUUUUGGUUUUCCAAGCUGAUUGGAAGAGAUGUGAGCCCAAAUUGGAGGAACUCUCCAAUAUUGUGCCCUAGACUUAGGGGUGCAAGUUGGAUUGAAACUCAAGGUUCUAAAAGGUGUUAGGCCCGGGGGGGGGAGGGGGGUGGGGCCUAGUUUUUUUUUUCUUUUAAUUAACUUUAUUAUAUAAUAUAUUAAGUUUCUACUUAUACUUAAAAAAUAUAUAAUUGUAUUGGAAAACAUAAAUUUAAAAAUAGAAUGAUAUAUAAACUAUAAAGUACUAAAACAUUAAAAAAAAAAAAUAUAUAUAUAUAGUACUAAAACAUAUUAAAAAUAUGAGGAACAAAUAUAUAAUAAGUGUUAUAUAAUAUGUAAAAUAAAAGUUAUAUAUCAAUAUGUACGUACAAUUUAUUGAAAAUAUAAAAUGUAAAAUAGAAGUUAUCUAAUUUCUAUAUAAGUGAGAAUCGCAACAAAAUAAACAAAAUGUAAGCUAGGCAGGAAAUAAACAAAAUGUAAGUCAUUUUAUUAAAUAAACAAAAUAAGCAAAAAAGGUCACAAAAACACCCAGUCUGCCUAGACCCAUCUAGGCCGUUAGGCCACUUAUGUCCACCUAGGUAGGCUAGGCAGGAAAUUCAAAUUGUAGUAUGAAAAUCUCGAGUUAAAACCGAUUCAAAAAAUAUCAAUAAAUUCCGAUAAUCCGAAUAUUUCAAAAUUGAAACUAAAGUUUAAUUUUAACACUUUUUUAUUUAGCACUAGAAUACUUGUUUCCAAUUCGAUCCAACCAAAAUCACCUCAACCUGGAAUCGAGAUAGGUACUAGUCACAGUGAAAGUUUAUUUCUAUAGCUUUGGAAUCGUUCUUCUUGAAGAAUUUAAGGGAAACUUUAUUAGUAUAGGAGGCUGAUGAUUGAUGAUGAACCUGCCCACUGCCCAGCAGCGAGUUCAUUUUUCCCAAAUCACAAAAUGGUAGUUUUGAAUAGUGGUUUAAACACAUAUUUUCUUCAUUUUACGGUUACCGGUGUUUGGUUAAGCUCUCAAAUUAAUUUGUGGUAUCAGAACCAUGUUAUAUGCAUGUUGUUACAUGGUAAUGUCGCUCAUGUGAAUAACCUGACUCUAGGAUACCAUAAACAAAUUUACGACUUAGUGAAACCAAAGUUUUUAUUUCAUGUACUUAUAUUGUUAAAUUCAUUACUUCUUACCACAUCUCCUGAAUGUUAAUAGGGAUCCAUUUGUAGCUCGUCCCACGUUGAAAAAAGAUCUCCACUUAUGCCAACUAGUUGUGGGUUAGAGGCUCAUAUUCUGAUGUGGUAUUAGAGUUUUGUUAUUUCAAACUGGGUUUUGUUACUUAUAAUAGGUCUAUUGAAUCAAUCAUGAUCAGUAAAAAAUUUAAAAAUAUUUAACAAAAUUAUCAAUCAUGAUUAAGUCUAUGGGACUCCAUGGAAUUCAUGUUUAAUUGGAGGACCAGAUGCAUCCAUUUCAUUCAAAUCAAGAAAUACAACGCAAUCAAAUAAAUAGCAAAUACCUGAAUUUGAAGAUAAAGCGGGGAAAUAUAGAAAUCUUCAAGUCUUAAACAGAUUGGAGCAUAACCCUGUUUUUGGCAACAAAACAACUAUUUUCAGAAAAUUACAAAAAGACAUAAAACAGGAAAUGAAAUUACUCAAAAGUUUAGAGAAUCUGCAAAUUGCUACUGUGGAGCCAAAAAUAUUCACUAGGCGACACGUGGACUUUUGAACGAAAGAGGACAAAAAUACCCUUGAGGCAUACCGGGAUUCCUACGCGCAAGCAGCAGGAAAUUAUCUUUCAACCAAGUCAAAAUUGCUCAAAAUAGGUAACAAUUUAAAGCUUAUUUCAUCAAAUCCUUUCCAUAAGGUAAUUCCCAAAACCUAAUUCAUUUUAUAUGUUUUAUAUUCCAUUAUUUAGCUAAUCAAUUAGCUAAAUAAUAUUUUCCUUUCAUGUUUCCUAAAAAUUGACUAAUUAAGGGAUUAAUCACCUAAUCAAUCCCUUAAUUAUCAAUUUGAAACAUCCACUCAAACCUAAAAAAUACUAUAGGGCCGGCUAUCCCAUUCAAAACCUAAACCAUUACCUUUUGUUACCUUUUCCCACCAUUUCUUCCCUUUUAUUAGCCAAUCAAUACCAUAAUUACUAUAACAUUUCCUUUCAUGGUUAAUUAGCCAACUAAUUGGCUAAUUAAACCAAAAAUAAAACCUAAAAUUCCCACCUAGUAGCCAGCCACAUUUCCUCCCUUUAUUCUUUACCUUUUUGAUUUUCUCCAUCUUAUUACCCAAAUAAAGCUAAUCAUUCAAUUUGAUAACACCUCAUUUAUUUCUAUCAUAUUUUAUUAGCCAAUAAAGUGGCUAAUUAAACCACAAAUUCACCAAAAAAUGGAGAGAGUGGCCGGCCAUUCCUUGAAGAAAAUGGAGAAGCCUAAUCCUAUAAAUAGGCUCCUAUUUUCACCAAAAACUCAUUCCAAUCCUCUUGCAAAAAUUCCAAAACACUCUAAACACUAUUUCUCUCUAAAAUUCUAACUUUGGCAUCGGAGGUUCUUCGGCCAAAGCCCCCCCAUUCAUCGUGGGCGCGUGAGGCUUUUGGCCUUAACCUAAGAUGCUAGUUGUUUUGUAGGUGCAAAUUCGUCCAAGAUCGAAGAGGAGAAAAUUUGCAUCCACAAAUUGGUGCUUUCAUUAAGAGUUGAAAUCCAUACUCGUAGAAGACUCUCGCACAAAAAGGUUUUUUCUCUAUUUUUUAGUCCAUUUGAAUAUUUUUCAUACGUUCUUAUUAUUAGAAUUUUUUAUUUGCAAAGGUUUUUUGAUAAAACGUAUAAGAAAAAUAUAAUGGCUAGAAAUUUAGAAAAUACCACAAGUGAGAAUUCAAAUACUCAAGAAAUGGGAUUACGGAGAUCCACGAGGCAAAAUACGGUCGUAAGUAGAGUGGCACCACCACCACGAAGUUCCACCAUGGCCCAAGCCGUGCCAUCCAAGUUUGCACGGGCCCAAACCCAAGCUUCGCAUUCGCAUGCACCACGCACUGAGCAGCCUGCUCCCGUGAUCCAGCCUGCUCAUGUAGCCCAGCCUGCUCCACUGAUCCAGCCUGCUCCCAUGAUCCAGCCUGCUCCCGUGAUCCAGCCUGCUCUCAAGGUUUCUCAAGCUGCUCAAGUCGGCCCGAGACAAUCUCAACCAUCCGGACCAAUCAUCGAGGCUGGGGUAUUUUCACCACAUUUCUCCGCAGAUUUGACAUUCCCCAACUCAAAUCUCACACUUGGAGCCAAUCACCCUUCUAUUGUUCAAGGAGGUGCAUUCCACCCAAGUUCUUCUAAUCCGAAUGGCGAACAAAACUUGUCCCGACAAGUCAUAGAGUUGACGAGUGCCCUUGCACAACAAACAACCUUGGUGAAUCAACUUUUACAACGCACUGAGAUCCAACGUGCCCCAGAUGAAGUAUCCCGAAGUAGGACAAGGGCAGGCGAGGAACCUCUCAAGCAGCGUCCUGGAAAGCAGCCACUCAACCAACCACAAACGGAGCAUUCAGGUAGUGCACACUCUCGAUUGGGCCCCCGAGAUAGCGUAUACUCCCGUCUUAGUGCACGGAGGAGCGUGCACUCUUGACUAGGCCCGAAGGUAAGUAUACAUUCCCGGUUGGGGCCACGCUUUGAUAAUCGACAUGGGCAGCCUUCCAGACAAAGUAUUCAUUCGCGGUUAGGCCCGCAAGGAGUAUCCUCCACAUCACAUCGGAGCAGUCAGCCUGGCAAACGGAAGGAAACAAUCGUUCAGUCCGAUUCUAGUUUAACCGGCGGCCCGUAAAAUCCUUCGCCUGCUAGGAAUCCAUCUCAUACACCGCAGCCACGACAUAGACGAGCUGAGCGCGUAGAAUAGCAGCCUAGACCGGUAGGUCGAGACCAGGGGCAGCCGAAGACUCCGCUAUCCCAACAAAGACAAAUUCAGGAAGAGGUAGAAAGGCUUUUCAAUGAACGGAUGCGUGAUUUCCGACGCAACGAAAUGGUUGACGAAGCACUAAGUCGAGAUAUGUCCAACAUAAGUAGGUCACCUUUCACGGACGAAAUCGAGCAGGCAGAGCCUCCACGCAAGUUCAGCAUGCCACACUUCACAUCUUUCAAAGGAGACGGGGAUCCCGAAAGACACUUGAAACAUUACCGAAGUGCGAUGGUCCUCUAUCGGAAUAAUGAUGCCCUUAUGUGCAAAAUAUUCGCCACUACUUUACAAGGCGAGGCACAAGAUUGGUUUCAUACCUUGCCGGCACGAUCCAUCCAGAAUUUUGAUGAUCUUUCCUUGGUUUUCACCAAAGAAUAUUCAUCUUAUCGUUCGAUCAAGAAAAAGUCCGAUCACUUGUUCAACGUAAAGAAAAACCCAAAAGAGUCACUUCGCGAUUACGUGAAGAUAUUCAAAGCAGAGAAGGCGAAGAUCGUCGGAUGCGAUAACUCGAUUGCAAGUGCAGCCUUCCAAAAAGGACUACCAGCAGAUCACCCACUGUUUGGAGAAAUGAUCAUGAAAGAAGACCUAACUCUAGCAGAUUCCUUUGCUCUGGCAGAGAAGCAUGCACUUUGGGACGAAGCUCGACAAGCAGAAAAGGUUCCCGAAUAGCCUAGAAAAAAGUUGGCAUCUACUCAAAAGAAGGAGGAUGGAAAGCAACCCAGCAAAGGCAGGCUGGAGGUCAAGUGCAAGGACCGACCCACGACCAAAGAAGGCCUGAUAACCAAUAACUAUUCAAAAUUCUCAAUUCCGAUUCAUCAAAUUCUUCGUGACAUCAAGAAUGAACCAUGGUUCAAGUUGCCGAAACAGUCAAAAGGAGAUACUUCCAAGUUGGACCACACCAAAUAUUGCGCAUUCCACCGAGGUCCUGGGCACACAACCAAUGACUGCUAUACUUGGAAGAACUACCUAGAGAAACUCGUAAAAGAAGGGAAAGUCGAUAGAUAUUUGGACAAGCCAGCUGAGCAGCCAAAAAGGAAUGCAGACGGAAAUGAGGAGCCACCAACUAAGAUGAUUCGAAUCAAUGGCAUUUUCGCUGAAUCCGAGCACUUGGGGGCCACUAAUAACUCCAAAAAGAGGAAGAUCCAGCAGGCUUUACUAAUUUCACAAGUUCAAGCAGUUGAUACCUAACCUGGACCUAUCAUUGGCUUCACAGAGCAGGAUGCGGAAGGAGUCGACUUCCCACACGACGAUGCAUUAGUAGUAUCUGUCCAACUAGCCCAUGCUAUAGUCGACAGGAUGAUAGUUGACAAUGGAAAUGCAGUCAACCUACUUCAACUUUCGAUCAUUCAAAAGUGGGCCUAGAAAGUACAAUCAUACGCUGGGCAGAGGUACUUACUGGAUUCAACGGACACACCUCAAUUGUCAUCGGUCAUAUCACACUUGACGUAAAAACACCGCCAGUCGUCUCAAAGCAAACAUUUACGAUCGUAAGCGACCCGUCUCCCUACAAUGGGAUUCUUGGGAGACCUUGGUUGAUCAAGCUAGAUGCCGUCACUUCCGUCAAGUAUCAAAAAAUCCGAUUCCGCAUCCCGGGAGGAGGAGUUGGAGAGAUCAAGUCUGACCAGGUUUCAUCCCGACGAUGCACUGUGCAAAUGUUGAAAGAAUCAAAUAAGGAGACCUUUACCCCCGUAGAGGUUACCGAAGUCCAAAAGGACAAAGAAGCUACCAAAUAGCAAUUACAGUAGGAGGACCGAGAAGAUGGCACCCAAGAAGACGAAAUACUCUUUCAAUAUGGUACUUUAUACUUUUUAUUGUGAAUAUACUAUAUUAUUAUGUAAUGAAUAUAUGUACUCUUGCAGGGCAACAUAAUCAAGAGACUAUCAAUGUUCCAUCAAAUAUGCCAACCUCGUAUCCAUCAUUUCAUGACUUUUAUAAUCAGGUUUGUAUUGAAACUUAUAUUUGGGGUUAUAAGUCACAUUUUGUGUUAUCAUUCUAACAUUUUGUUUAUUGAUUUAGGUUAAUGGCAUUAGACAUCUUGGAUAACACAACUUUAGCUCUUCAACUUCAAGAAUUCUUAGAAAAAUGAGCAGAUGCUAGAAACAUAGAGCUCAUGGAUUGAAGAUGGAUGAAUUGAAGAGACGAUGUGGGAUUUUUUUUUUCUUUUUAUUUAUGUAAUCUGGCAGCUUGACAAUUAGUCAAAAUAACUUUUAGAUUCACCUUGGAUAUCAAGUUUUUUAACAACUUAUGGUUUGAUCAAAGUUUUAUUUCAAAUAGUAUUAUCUAUAGUUCUUAAUUAUAUUUGGUAGAGAUGUACUGAAACCUAAGACACGGCAAAACAGGGAAAGAAAGAAAGAAACAAAACUGGGAAAGAAAAAAAGGGGAGGGAGUACUAAAACCUAAGACACGGCAAAACAUUGGGGGGGGCUGAGAUUUGGGAAGAAAAAACAAGAGGGAAAGAAAUAAAAAAGGAAACAUAUGGCAAUAACCUUCGGCAAAACAUGGGGGGGGAUUUGGGAAGAAACAAAAAAGGAAACAUAAUUAAUAUGUAUAAUAUAUUCAUUAGUUAAAAAAAUAAUUAUAAAAUUUUUAAAUAUAAAAGAAAGAUAAAAGAUUAUAUUUAAGAUUUGCCACGUGGCGAGUUUUGAGUGGACUGUAGUGCCACUCAAUGAAGUCCAGUGACAGGCCAAGCCCCACACAAGUUUUUCUCGUAUUUUUGGCACUUUGAAACACAAUCCACCUUUUCUUAUUGGCCCUUCACAAACUUCUCCGAGUACAACCUGCAGACAUAAACAAUACCCAUUAUACCUUUUUCAGAUGAAUUUUAGAGAUAGAGGAGAGAGAUUAGGGUUUAAGGACAAUAAUGAAAACUAAUUUUAUGCUGAGAGGAUUUGGUGAAGCAAUGUGAUAGCCAGGAGUUCGAGAGCGACGGAAGGAAAAAUGUAAAAGUUGUAGUGGAAGCAGAGCUUUGGAGAUCUGAUUUUUUGGAUGACAGAAAGCAGAAUGACGUAGAAGAGUUAAGAAGAGGAAGAAAAAGAUCGAACAGAAGAUGGAGCAAUGACGGAUGAGUGGAAUCGAAAGGGAAAAACCACCCUUUCACUGUACAAAAGCCGAGAGAAACCAUUCUGAGACAAAUAUUUGGAGGGCAUUUUCGUCUGCGCACUGUCCAUGAACAGUGCACGCAGGUUUAGGUUUUAGUAUAGGAAUAAUAUAAUUUUAAUAUUUUAAAAAAUAAGUUUAAGGAUGGUGUCAUUUAAAAAGAUGAUAUUCUAGGUGUCAAAUUGCAAUAGGCGAGGACCUCUAGCUGUCUUGUGUGCAGGGCGCCUCGAAAAAUGUCUCGUUAUUCACUUAUAAGACUUAAAUGUUAUAGUCAUCCAAUAUGUGUUGUCCAUGUGCGUAACUGAGCUCUCAUACUAACCAUAACAUAAUUAAAACGAUGGGCGAGGCCGCAUUUUUUAAUUAUUUUUAGCUUCAAUGAGCAAUAUUUUAAAAUUGAUUCUCUAAACUUUCAAAGCUUAAUUUGAGAGUUUGAGGAAGAUGAUUGACCAUUAUGCUCCCAUUUUCUUUCAACUUUAUCAUCAACAGUCCGUCUGAGGAGAAACUUAUGUACAAAGAAAGGGGGAAGCAUGCAAAAUAUAGGAAAAUCUACCAACUUCAUACACUAUCCCAUGAUAUCCUAAACAUGGUAAGAUGCCCUCCUGCCUAAUCUAUAUGCCUGUGUCUCAAAAAGUAUUAACUUUCUUAUUGAAACAAACGAAACGAAACGAAUUUGAUUGAAACUUUCACGGAGAGCUUUCGUAUCCUUCUUCAGUGGGUGGCAAAGACUCAAACGCUUCAGAAAGAGAUUCAAGCAUGUUUGUCACUUCCGCUGUAUCGUCCAAAUAAUAUGUAGCCUUGCUAGGCUUUUGCCCAACCGUGCAAGCAAAAACCGAAGGAUUUGGAGAGAGAACUUUCUUCUGCAUCGAGUUACCAAAUAUCUCAAACAUGUCCUCAUCGGAUCUGUCAUCGCCAAUACAGAGCACAAAGUCUGCGUGUUUUCCAUUUUCCGCCAUUGAUGAGAAAAUCUUCUCUGCUACAUGUCCUUUACUAACUCCCUAGAAUCAUACAAGAACGAAACAAACAAAAUAUAUGUUGGAUUGAAACGAAAGCAAAAGCAAGGGAAAAGCGGAAGUAGAGAUUGAUGAAUCUAUAUACACGUAUACCUGAGGCUUUACUUCUACAAUGAACUGACCGUUCUUGACAGCAACAGGUUCAUUUGCCAAGACACUCUCUAGAUGAUCCAACAUCUCCUUUGCCUGGGAGGACCCGAAACCAGGGUCUGCGUCACGAUAUUGCCAAACCAAAGCACUUUCCUUUCUUUCAAUAGAAGAACCAUCAGUAGCCUCCGUAUACAAUUGCAUCACGGGUUCAACAGUCUUCAUCCAGCCAAACUCAAAACCCUGAAGACAGGUUUCCCAUUCCUGAUUUUGUGACCAUCUGAGAAGUAGCAUAUUGAUCGUUGUGAAAGCUCCAUUAACGUUCAAGUUUUUUUUUUUAAGCACAGUGUAUUUAUCUUUCAGUUUCCCCAUCAUUAGCAAAAACACAAGCUAUAACUUAACUGACAUUUGAGAUAGUUUUGACGAGAGAGAGAGAGAGAGAGAGAGAGAGAGAGGCACACCUUAAGAAGUAACCAUGCUCAGCCGCAAUUCCCAUCCUCUGACAGGGAGAAAACCACUUGCUUAAGCACUCCCUCCCUCGGCCAGUGACAAUGAAAACUGUGUUUUUCGGGUCCACACAAAGUGUGUUCAUAAUUGAGAUUACCUUCUGACUAGGGGACUUGUCAAUUGAGUUCUGGGGCAUCACAGUACCAUCGUAGUCCAACAGAAUGGCCCUAUUUUGUGCCCCUCUGUAAGCCGAAACAAUAGCAUCAAUUGAAAGUUUUCUGAAAUUAGGAUCAAGUGCCACAACUCUGAAUCCAAAGCCAAAACCAAUUCCCCAACAUCUUCUCUUAAAAUGGUCUGCACAAGCUCUCUGCAUGUCUUGCAAGAAACUGCGCGACCAAUAAGCCACAUCGUGUGUACUAACAUACCGAUAAUGCUUCUCAUGUCGCAGUUCUUUCUCUGAAUCAAGCACUGAAAUCGCCACAUUCAGUGCCUCCCCAGUUGUUUCAACAUUCCAUGGAUUGACACGGAUUGCCCCACUGAGUGAUGGAGAACAUCCAAUAAAUUCUGACACCACUAACAUGCUCUUCUUUGGACCACCGAAAUUUGAACACGAAUUAGAACCAGAUAUUCCUUGUCUGCAAACUACAUAUUCAUAUGGAGUAAGGUUCAUCCCAUCUCUAACGGCUGUCACAACGACACACUCAGCAAUGUUGUAAUAGCAAAUCUUCUCGUUAAUGGAAACUGGCCUGUCAAUAAUGAUUAUUGGCUCAUAGCCUGGUUGACCAAAUUCUGCAUUGAUCCGCCUGCAGCCUUCUUGUAUUUCUGCUCGUAUUUCCUCCAAAUCUAUCCCUUUACCUCUCACAGGGUUUAGAAUCUGGACCAGCACUGCCUUUCCCUGCCAAUUUGGAUGUUGCUUCAGCAUCUGUUCCAUUGCUAGAAUUUUCAAAUUAAUUCCUUUAAAAAUGUCCAUAUCAUCUAUACCAAGCAACAUUGUUUUCCCUUCAAACUGUUGUGUAAGUUCCCUCACUCUACUCUCGUCAUCCGCCACCUUCAUCACCGAUUCUAUCCAACCCAUAUGAACCCCAACUGGCAUAAUCUUGAUCCUGAUGUUCCUUCCAUAAUAUUCCAAUCCUAAGUAACCCCUCUUUGACUGAUAUACCAAGCCCAACAUCCGACUGCAACAUGUCAGAAAAUGACGAGCAUAAUCAAAGGUGUGGAACCCAAUAAUAUCUGCAUUGAGUAAAGCCUUAAGUAUUUCUUCUCUUACAGGAAGAGUUCUAUAUAUCUCAGACGAGGGAAAUGGACUGUGAAGGAAAAAGCCCAUCCUAACUCGAUUAAAACGCCUUCUCAGGAAAGUUGGCAGCACCAUCAAAUGGUAAUCAUGAAUCCAGAUAUAAUCUUCAUCCGGGUUUAUAAGCUCAACCACUCUUUGAAAAAACAACUUAUUAGCUGAUAUGUAAGCUUCCACAAAGACCGAUCAAAUCGGCCUCCUUGAUCAGCUGAAAACGGCAGCAUGUAAUGAAAAAGUGGCCAUAAAUGCCUCUUGCAGAAACCAUCAUAGAAUUUUGACAGAAUGUCAGGGGGUAGAAAAGUCGGAACACAUUUGAAUCUCUCCAGUAAGACCUGUGACACAUCAUCCUGCUCUUUAGGAUCAACGGAAACCUUCAACGAGCCAACAUAAAGAACCUCCAUGUCUUCUGGCAGUCCAUCCUUAAGCUGCAAAAGCAAAGAAUCCUCAUUCCAACUGAAAGUCCAACCUUUAUUAUCCUCCCUUCUCUUUGCUUUCACAGGAAGUUGGUUAGCUACAAUGAUCACCCGAUCGGAAGCAAUUGAGGAAGGUUGAUCAGACGACACACUACGAGCUUGAUCAUCGUCAAGAUCGGACAAAUUUCCAGGAGCUGUGUUCACCCUUGGGAACCGUCUUCUUUUCCCCUCCAUGGUAGGGAAAUUCCCUGAUGCCAAAUCCAAAAGAUUUAUGUAUGACUGCGACAUUAUUUCCAACUCUGUUUAUAAAUGGAUAAUCUCACGAGACUCUUUUCUCAGACAAUCUGCAUUUCACAUCAGUACAACAUAAAUUCCAAUAAAAAGUACAAUAAAAGAAAAGAAAUAAACAAAGUUACAAACCAAUCAAUGCAGUGAAAAUCAAACACACAACUAAAUUAACAGCGGAAAGAAGACCGAUUCACAUUCCAAAAAUAAGAGAAUCUGCUGACAAAUCAAGAAUGUUUCCUCUACAUAUAUUCUAAUCUCGACGAUGCAAAAAAUCCCCAAGAUUCUUUUUCCCUCUCAAUGGGUUACGUUACACCACAGAUUCUUCUCAAGCACCCAACUUUUCUCCCAAAAGAACACAAAACCUAAACACUGAGAUACCACAUUCAGAAUUCAUAUCCACAUUUUACAAAAAUCGAAUGAAAUGCAAAAACAGAGAGGACCCCAACAAGAUUAAUGAGGCAAAAUUGCAGUAAACCACAAAGAACAUGAAAUCUAAAGCCUACCCAGAUCCCAAAAGGGUCCAUAAACGAUAACCCAAUUCUUCACAAACCCUAAUCAUUAAAAAAAUAAAAAAUAAAAAAAAAAAGAGAUCAGGAGAAGAAGAUUGAAAAACUGACCUCUGUCUCUCUAUGUAGUAUUAAAACCAAAACGAUAUGUGUGUAGAGGGUUUGAAUGUAUAUAUGAACAAGGGGUUUGAUUUGCUUUGAAUUUACAUAAUCUCAUAGUGUUCGAUUGACAUCUACAAUUUUCAUUCCUGAAUUGUAUUGGGAUAAUUAGGGCUAAUGAAUAUUAUUAAGAGAAUUGUAUAUAUCUCAGAAAUUAAUAAGGCAAAACAAUUAAUGAAAAUAUUAACUUGCCCUUCAUGUAAACGUGGAACAAAUCCACGAGGAAUUAUACGAGCACCCGCUAGCCCAACACGACAGCCAAUGAGAGUGUGGGAUUUCACGCGGCGAGCCAAUAACACGCGAUGAAGGUGACGGAGUGGUGUGCGUGCAGGGUGAUUUUAUCAGAGUUGUGUUAGAAAAUUGGAUAAGGUCAGCCAGCUGGCAUCACGCGGCGACUAGACACACGUUCAACACGUGAGCUGUGAGAACUGGACACGUGAGACGAGGAGAGUAGGGAGACCCGGGAAGGGUUUCAGCGCGUUGAACCGCCUCGGCCUUUGGUGCGUACGGACGGACCAAUCAGCGGCGCGAGUUCAGUGGUGACUGGGAUUCACAGCUGGGAUGCUGCCACUUGGGAGUUUUUCAAUUAUUCGCGCAUCUUGAACCCUCUCUCUCCUCUACUCUCACUCCCCAAUCUUUUUUCCUCCGCCGCUGCAACUGCAUGCCUCCUGCCUCCUGCCUCCUGCCUCCGCCGCCGCCG
rnacentral:lncRNA from 1 species